CUUGAUUCUGAUAGGAAUGUGGGAAACACCCGAUCCCUUUUCGAAUUCGAUUUGUGAAACCACUUUUCGCUGCAUGUACUACUGUCGUGGGAGACGCAGUUGAGUCGAG
rnacentral:rRNA from 1 species